UACGGGGGGAGCAAGCGUUGUUCGGAUUUACUGGGCGUAAAGGGCGCGUAGGCGGCCUCCGCAAGUCAGUUGUGAAAUCUCCGAGCUUAACUCGGAAAGGUCAACUGAUACUGCGGGGCUAGAGUGCGGAAGGGGCAACUGGAAUUCUUGGUGUAGCGGUGAAAUGCGUAGAUAUCAAGAGGAACACCGGUGGCGAAGGCGGGACUCUGGGCCGAUACUGACGCUGAGGAGCGAAAGCGUGGGGAGCGAACAGG
rnacentral:rRNA from 1 species